CGGGUUGGAUUGCUAGAGACCGUUUGAAGAAGUUGAAACAACCUGGAACGGUCAGGGAAUAUGUCAAAGAUUUCAGUUCUUUGAUGCUGGAUAUUAGCAAUGUGUCUGAGGAAGACAAGUUGCAUAAUUUCCUUUACGAGUUGCAGUCGUGGGCGCAAAUGGAACUCCGAACGCAAAACAUGAAAGACCUUCCUAGUUUCAUUGCGGCUGCGGAUGCAUUGGGAGAUUUCCGGUUGGGGCAAGAUGGCUCUGAUUUCUCUACUACUUCAAAGUCCAAAAACGGGAACAAGGCAAAAGAGUGGAGGAAAGCUGGAAACGACAAGGAGAAUGUUGUUGACGGCAACGGCAAUGAGAAGGAAAAGAAAGGUGCUGGACCUUUUAUAAACAAGGGAUAAGGGACAAAGCAGCAGGUUUGAUGGUUGUUUUAUCUGCAAGGGACCACACAAGGCGAGGGACUGUCCAAGAAUUGAAAAGCUUUCAGCGUUGUUUGCUGAAGAAAAAGGGGAAGAAGAACCGGAGCAAGCAACAGCAUAUGUGGGACCUAUGGUGGUGCUGAAAAAUGCGGAAGCUAGUUCGUCGAGGACGACGAAUUCUUCUGGUGGGGGUGGUUUGUUACACCCCUAACAAUGACCCUCGGCAGGUGUGGGUUGUGACAAGUAUUUUCAUGAUGGACUUGUUGCACAACCUGAAAAUUGGGGCAACAUCAUGACGGACAGCUCAACAUGACAGACUUUGCGGGGCAUGACAAAGGCACCUUGGACGGUGGUUUGUUACACCCCUAACAAUGACCCUUGGCAGGUGUGGGUUGUGACAAGUAUUUUCAUGAUGGACUUGUUGCACAACCUGAAAUUUGGGGCAACAUCAUGAUGGGCAGCUCGGCAUGACGGACUAUGCGGGGCACGACAAAGGCACCUUGGACGGAAUCAAGGCGCAUUUUACUUAGACAUGCGGGUUGGCAAAGCACUUGUGCGGCAAAGCCAUGUCAAGCAGGGGCAAGGACAUGGCAAGACAAGGUACAGCAAGGCGGGACAAUCAAUGGAAAUGAAUGUGGGCAAAUGACUUAGCAACGGGAAUGACAUCAAGGCUUGGUGACUUGAUGCUAAAUCAGCAUUGGCAACGGGCGGACUUGAUCAAGUGUCAAUGGCAAUGGAUGGGCACGCGGCAAAGUCAUGGACGACGAGCUGUGGCGAUGGCAUUGAGCGGAGCACUGUCAAAGGCCAAGGCUGGGCGCAAUGCCAGCUUAGGCGUGCAGCAGCUGGCCGACGCGCACAUGGAGCGAUUUUCAAGUGUGCCGUGCACAUGGUGCAGUUGGGCGGUUACAACCACCCAAGACAUGCUGAUCAUGGCCUAGAAAGGAGGAGGAGCAAUUGGCGGUUACAACAACUCCCUAAUCAUGCGGAUCAUGGCUUAGAGGAGCAGUUAGCGGUUACAACCACUCCCGAAACAUGUAGAUCAUGGCCUAGAAGUGUGCCCACGUUUUUAUACAUGUCUCUACUGAUUGUAGCCUAUAAAUAUGUGCCUAUGUAUAGCCAAAAGGGCAAGAACUUAGCCUAAGGCAAUUGUGCAAAGCCAAAUUAGUCUAAGUCACUUCCUUAGGGUAGGAAGUCCGUUUUGGGCAGGGAAUAGGGGAAUUCUUUGUCUUGGCCAUAGGGUAGGCUUUCGGAUACUUAUUUUGGGGCAGAGAAUUGGGGAAUUCUUUGUCUUGGCCACAGGGUUGACUUUUGUCUUCUUGUAUUCACUUUAUUAAUACAAGUUGGGAAGAAAUUCCAGUAAUCUCGUGUGUCUCUUACUGUUUUCGCUGCCUAUUUUCAUUCUAAGUUCAAAUCGUCCUAAAAUUAAACUAAAAGUUGGGAAGGCUGAGUCAAGUUGGUGCUUGGCUGCCGCACUGAGGUGAACCUCGGCCAGAAUUACGAGUGGCUAAAAUCACCCCUGUGACAAUUGGUAUCAGAGCAGGCUAGAUCGGGGCGACGACACAAUUUUCAUUGGUUGAAUAUUGUGAAGAAUGGCUGGUGGCCACACAGAACUAAGGGAAAAGGUUGCUGCAUUAAAGGCACUGGUCGGAACUACUAAUGGGGAUCUAGAUCGAGGCGACGACACAAUUUUCAUUGGUUGAAUUUUGUGAAGAAUGGCUGGUGGCAACGCAGAACUGAGGGAAAAGGUUGUUGCAUUAGAGGCACUUGUCGGAACUACUGAUGGGGAUCAGUUUCUGACUAUCAUGACCCGUCUUUCCUAUCUCGAAGGCGAGUUAAACAGACUGAAUCAGGAAUACAGAAUUGAAAAUGGAAAAUGGGCUGCUGCGUCGGGCUGCUGGCAAUGAUGAGACACAGCGUGGGGCAGAUUGGACCAAGGUCAGAAUCCCGGAGCCGAAUGAGUUCACUGUUACAAGGAGUGCCAAGCAACUCGAAAACUUCUUGUGGGACAUGGAGCAGUACUUUCAGGCUGCCAAAGUUCGUGACGAAGAAAAGGUCACCAUUACAACUAUGUACUUGGUUGACGAUGCAAAACUGUGGUGGCGAACGAGGGUGGCAGACGAUGCAAGUGCUGGGCGGCCGAAGAUUGACUCUUGGGAAAGAUUAAAGAAAGAAUUGAAGGACCAAUUCUUUCCUAGCAAUGCGGGCUGGAUUGCUAGAGGCCGUUUGAAAAAGUUGAAACAAACUGGAACGGUUAGGGAAUAUGUCAAAGAAUUCAGAAAAAUAUGAAAGACCUUCCUAGUGCCAUUGCGGCUGCGGAUGCAUUGGGAGAUUUCCGGUUGGGGUAAGAUGGCUCUGAUUUCUCUACUACUUCAAAGUCCAAAAACGGGAACAAGGACAAGGCAAAAGAGUGGAGGAAAGGUGGAAACGACAAGGAGAAUGUUGUUGAGGGAAACGGCAAUGAGAAGGAAAAGCAAGAUGCUGGACCUUUUAUAAACAAGGGUUAAAGCAGCAGGUUUGAUGGCUGUUUUAUCUGCAAGGGACCACACAAGGCGAGGGACUGUCCAAGAAUUGAAAAGCUUUCAGCGUUGUUUGCUGAAGAAAAAGGGGAAGAAGAACCGGAGCAAGCAACAGCAUAUGUGGGACCUAUGGUGGUGCUGAAAAAUGCGGAAGCUAGUUCGUCGAGGACGACGAAUUCUUCUGGUGGGGGUGGUUUGUUACACCCCUAACAAUGACCCUCGGCAGGUGUGGGUUGUGACAAGUAUUUUCAUAUAAGACUUGUUGCACAACCUGAAAAUUGGGGCAACAUCAUGACGGACAGCUCAACAUGACGGACUUUGCGGGGCAUGACAAAGGCACCUUGGACGGAAUCAAGACGCAUUUUACUUAGACAUGCGGGUUGGCAAAGCACUUGUGCGACAAAGCCAUGUCAAGCAGGGGCAAGGACAUGGCAAGACAAGGCACGACAAGGCGGGAUAAUCAAUGGCAAUGGAUGGGCGCGCGGCAAAGUCAUGGACGACGAGCUGUGGUGAUGGCAUUGAGCGUAGCAGUGUCACCAUGACAUUGCGAUGAUAUUUCCACACACGCCCGGCGCCGCUGCCGCCCGCACACUGCCAUGGCCUAGUUUUCUGCCUUGUCCGUGCCAACCCUCAUUUCCCUCGUGCCAGUACUUGGUGGGGGUGGUUUGUUAGACCCCUAAUAUUGGCUUGACGGAUGUCGGGUAGAAUUCAUGUCAAGGGCUUGUGCACUGCCCCUUGACAUGGCUUCGUUGAAGUGUUGGCAAGCAAUGUACAAGGC
rnacentral:lncRNA from 1 species